UUUCCGUAGGUGAACCUGCGGAAGGAUCAUUGUCGAAACCUGCCUAGCAGAAUGACCCGUGAAUGUGAUAUCAAACAAUCGAAUGAGGGGGGUGAGGAUGCAUCUUUGCCCCAAACCCCCUCGUUGCCUAGGUGUGCUUGGCCUUUCCCCAUUCGUUCUUGGGCGGGUGAGAUUACAGGUCUUGUUGCACUCAGGUAAAAUGAACAACCCCCGGCGCGAAUUGCGUCAAGGAAUUAAAAAUGAAAAGAGUGCACGUCUACUGUCAUCGUCCCGUAUGCGGUGUUUGUGUGGCAGUGAUGCUGUUACUUUUGUCGUGAAAUACAAAACGACUCUCGGCAACGGAUAUCUCGGCUCUCGCAUCGAUGAAGAACGUAGCGAAAUGCGAUACUUGGUGUGAAUUGCAGAAUCCCGUGAACCAUCGAGUCUUUGAACGCAAGUUGCGCCCCAAGCCAUUAGGCCGAGGGCACGUCUGCCUGGGUGUCACGCAUCGUCGCCCCAAUCAAACCCUAAGCCAUCGCGCUACGGUUGCAUUGUGGGCGGAAAUUGGCCUCCCGUGUGCUCACCGCUCAUGGUUGGCCUAAAAUUUGGUCCUCGGCGAUGAAUUGCCGCGACAAUCGGUGGGAAUGCUUAAUAAGCUGCCUCGUUAGUUAUCGUGUGUGCUCGUUGAUUUGGACCCUUUUGACCCUUUUGGCAUCACUAUGUCGAUGCUCGCAUCGGACCCCAGUCAG
rnacentral:rRNA from 1 species